UGCCCCUGCUGUUGUGGACCUGUGGUGGUACAUCAGCGAAGAUGAUGAUGAGGUGGCGCUACACGAGCGAUCGUGGCGCCACCCGAUGCACCAUCACGCCUUGCGCAGGGGUGCAAGCAAGAUGGCCUGGUUCAUCAUGUGCGGCGCAUGGAGUGGUCGGCUGGUUGCCAUUGGCUCUAUGAACAUGGCUCGGCCGCUGCCAUCACUGUGAACCGCAUGUUGUUCCUCAGAUGCAACAAGAAUGAUUUCUUGGGUUCACUGUACUUUCUAAACGGUUGUAACUUUUUUGCUUCUGAAGUGUCACAGGAUACCAAAAAUCUCGAUGAUAUAUUAGUCACCUGCAGUCCUUGACAAGAAUUGAUCCAAAGGACGAAAACUUAUAAAGUCCUCAAGCUCAUAAACUACAGGAAGUUGGAAGCAGAGAAAAUGGAUUGGGACAAGGAGCCAGACAGAGGAUGAGGAGGGGCUCAGCGGAACAAAUGGCCAAGGAGAAAAAGGUAGCUAUCGCCACAAGCAUCAAGAUAUGUGGGCUUCAUGUAACUCAUGCUUCCUACCAAUACGUUUUUCAUAAUUUCCAUUGAAUACCUCAAAUGAUCUGAGCUUGUCUGUUAUUUUUUGCUGAACAGUCCACUCCGCACCACAUGAGAAAUCUACACAUUUUUUCUGUUACAAUCAGAUUUAUUCUCUAGCCAAGAAUUAUGACUAAUUUCUCAGGCCUGAAGAACCAGUAUAUAAUCAUAGUUGCUUAAUUAGUUAGGGAUGUUUCGGCAAUUCUUUUUACCACCACUAUUAAUCACAAUGUUCUGUUUGUUGUAGGCGUCAUUUACUAUCCCGCAGAAUACAUCGGUAAGUUGAGGUGUGUUUGAGUAGCCUUCACUAUCCAAAUAGUUUAUAAUCCUUUUAUGCAUCUUGUUGUGAGACUGUUAUUUUCUUAAUUUAUUAAUGCUUGAUGGUUCUUGC